rnacentral:rRNA from 1 species
CUGGCGGCGUGCCUAAUACAUGCAAGUCGAACGGUCUUUCUAUGGAAGCUUGCUUCCACUGAGAAGAUAGUGGCGAACGGGUGAGUAACACGUGGGUAACCUGCCCAUAAGAGGGGGAGUAACAUCCGGAAACGGGUGCUAAUACCGCAUAGUUUUCUUGAUCGCAUGAUCGGGAAAGGAAAGACGGCCUUUGUGCUGUCGCUUAUGGAUGGACCCGCGGCGUAUUAGUUAGUUGGUGAGGUAACGGCUCACCAAGACGAUGAUACGUAGCCGACCUGAGAGGGUGAUCGGCCACAUUGGGACUGAGACACGGCCCAAACUCCUACGGGAGGCAGCAGUAGGGAAUCUUCCGCAAUGGACGAAAGUCUGACGGAGCAACGCCGCGUGAGUGAAAGAAGGUUUUCGGAUCGUAAAACUCUGUUGUCAGAGAAGAACAAGUUGGAGAGUAACUGCUCCAGCCUUGACGGUAUCUGACCAGAAAGCCACGGCUAACUACGUGCCAGCCGCCGC